GGUUCGAUCACAAUCCGGUCGACGCUGGCGGGAUGCUUUACACAUGCAAGUCGGGCAACGCAGCACGGACUUCGGUCUGGUGGCGAGUGGCGAACGGGUGAGUAAUAUCGGAACGUGCCUAGUAGCGGGGGAUAACUACGCUUACAGCGCAGCGCUAAUACCACAUACGCCCUUCGAGGAAAGCGGGGGACUUCGGGCCCUCGCACUAGCCGACGGCCGAUAUCGGAUUAGCUAGUUGGUGGGGUAACGGCUCACCAAGGCGACGAUCCGUAGCUGGUUUGAGAGGACAAUUAACCACACUGGGACUGAGACACGGCCCAGACUCCUACGGGAGGCAGCAGUGGGGAAUUUUGGACAAUGGGGGAAACCCUGAGUCAGCCAUCCCAUGGUCAGUGCGAUGAAGGCCCCUUCCGGGUUGUAAAGCACUUUUUGGCAGAAAGAAACGGCACGGGAUAAUACCCCGUGCAACUGACGGUUACCUGCAGAAUAAGCACCGGCUAACUACGUGCCAACUGACCGCAGUAAUACGUAGGGUGCAAGCGUUAAUCGGAAUUACUGGGCGUAAAGCGUGCGCAGGCGGUUCGGAAGAAAGAUGUGAAAUCCCAGAGCUUAACUUUGGAACUGCAUUUUUAACUACCGAGCUAGAGAUUCUGUGUCCAGAGGGAGGUGGAAUUCCGCGUGUAGCAGUGAAAUGCGUAGAUAUGCGGAGAAGACACCGGUGGCGAAAGGCGGCCUCCUGGGAUAACACUGACGCUCAUGCACGAAAGCGUGGGAGCAAACAGGAUUAGAUACCCUGGUAGUCCACGCCCUAAACGAUGUCAACUAACUGUUGGGGCCUUCAGGCCUUGGUAGCACAGCUAACGCGUGAAGUUGACCGCCUGGGAGUACGGUCACAAGAUUAAAACCCAAAGGAAUUGACGGGACCCGCACAAGCGGUGGAUGAUGUGGAUUAAUUCGAUGCAACGCGAAAAACCUUACCUACCCUUGACAUGUCUGGAAUCCCGAAGAAGAGAUUUGGGAGUGCUCGCAAAGAGAGAACCGGAACACAGGUGCUGCAUGGCUGUCGUCAGCUCGUGUCGUGAGAUGUUGGGUUAAGUCCCGCAACGAGCGCAACCUUGUCAUUAGUUGCUACGAAAGGGCACUCUAAUGAGACUGCCGGUGACAAACCGGAGGAAGGUGGGGAUGACGUCAAGUCCUCACGCUGGCCCUUAUGGGUAGGGCUUCACACGUCAUACAAUGGUCGGGACAGAGGGUCGCCAACCCGCGAGGAGCCAAUCCCGAAACCCGAUCGUAGUCCGGAUCACCAGUCUGCAACUCGACUGCGUGAAGUCGGAAUCGCUAGUAAUCGCGGAUCAGCAUGUCGCGGUGAAUACGUUCCCGGGUCUUGCUUACACACCGCCCCGUCACACCAUGGGAGUGGGUUUACCAGAAGUAGUUAGCCUAACCGUAAGGAGGGCGAUUACCACGGUAGGAUUCAUGACUGGGGUGAAGUCGUAACAAGGUAG
rnacentral:rRNA from 1 species